rnacentral:rRNA from 1 species
AGUGAACGCUGGCGGUAGGCCUAACACAUGCAAGUCGAACGGCAGCACAGUAAGAGCUUGCUCUUACGGGUGGCGAGUGGCGGACGGGUGAGGAAUACAUCGGAAUCUACUUUUUCGUGGGGGAUAACGUAGGGAAACUUACGCUAAUACCGCAUACGACCUACGGGUGAAAGCAGGGGAUCUUCGGACCUUGCGCGAUUGAAUGAGCCGAUGUCGGAUUAGCUAGUUGGCGGGGUAAAGGCCCACCAAGGCGACGAUCCGUAGCUGGUCUGAGAGGAUGAUCGGCCAAACUGGAACUGAGACACGGUCCAGCCUCCUACGGGAGGCAGCAGUGGGGAAUAUUGGAAAAUGGGCGCAAGCCUGAUCCAGCCAUACCGCGGGGGUGAAGAAGGCCUUCGGGUUGUAAAGCCCUUUUGUUGGGAAAGAAAAGCAGCAGGUUAAUACCCCGCUGUUCUGACGGUACCCAAAGAAUAAGCACCGGCUAACUUCGU